rnacentral:lncRNA from 10 species
GGAAAAUUUUUAAUGGAAAAGUGGGGUGUGGAGGGCAUUUCAGAGAGACAGCAGGGAGGUGAGAAGUAGCACAGCAAGCACUUGGGAACAAGUAGUUCAUUGUUGCAGGAGUACAGAAUUCAAGGCUGGGAGAGAGGAAAGCUAGGGCCAAAUGACAGAAGGCCUUGCAAUCAAUGGCAUAAGAAGCUUCAGUUUUGUCCCAAAGAAGAUGUGAAGGUGAGAGGUGAAGCCAGCUGGACUUCCUGGGUCGACUGGGGACUUGGAGAACUUUUCUGUCUUACAAGAGGUUUGUAAAAUGCACCAAUCAGUGCUCUGUAAAAACGCACCAAUCAGCACUCUGUAGCUAGCUAGAGGUUUGCAAAAUGGACCAAUCAGCACUCUGUAAAAUGGACCAAUCAGCAAGACAUGGGCGGGUACAAGGGAAUAAAAGCUGGCCACCCCAGCCAGCAGUGGCAACCUGCUCAGGUCCCCUUCCAUGAUGUGGAAGCUUUGUUCUUUUGCUCUUCACAGUAAAUCUUGCUGCUGCUCACUGUUUGGGUCCAUGCCACCUUUAAGAGCUGUAACACUCAGUGAGAAGGUCCACAGCUUCAUUCUUGAAGUCAGCAAGACCACGAACCCACCGGAAGGAACCAACUCCGGACACAAAGGCAGUAGGGCAAUUUAAACUGAAGAGAGGGUCAAAUAUACACUUGAAGUAUGUCACUCUGACAACAGUAUGAGAAAUGGAUUUGAGCAGGGCAACAUGGAAGCAGAUUACCUACGUAGUUGUUUCUAUAGGCCAAAAAAGAGAUGAGAACCUGAACCAAACCGUGACAGUGGGGAUACGGAGUAAGAUAUGGAGUUGAGAAAUGUUUGUUGGGUAAAAUUAGCAGGACUGGUGACUGAAUGGAUAUAAGAAAGUGAAGGGGGCAUUAAGGGCAAUUAUCAGAUUACUGACUUGGGUAACUAGGUAUAGCAGUGGUUCUCCAAAAUAAGGAACAUAGGAGGAGCAGGGUUUGGGGGACCUGCCCAGUCUAGUUGAGACAUGACGAGUUUAAAAAGCAAUGAGACAUUCAAGUGAUGGUCCAGCAAUUAUUUCUGUAUCAUUCUAGAAAUCACACGUCAGAGUCAUAAACUGGAGAUUCUGGAGUCAUCAGAACUCCUCAAGCUGACUUAUUGGCUCAUCCAUCUGAGGAUGGAGCUCACUGCCUUCAGGCACAGCUGGACUCAGGCUCAAACCUCAUGAAGCUUCCCUCAGUGCCAGCUUCUCUUCCUGUGAUACACUCAUUCUCUUCUACUAUUGUGAUGAAAAAGUUGGCCACUGACCACCCCAGGCUUGCAUCUUUACAACUCAUAAUACAAAAGGAAGACAGUCUGGCUUCUUAGGUCUAGCAGAAAAAAACCUGGAAAGGCCUCUGAAUGGCCCAUCUUGGCUUAAGUAUUCAUUACUUAAUCACUGUGAUCAAGGAAAGGUGGUAACGUGGCUCAGUCUAGGUCAAUCUAGUAAGGGAGGAAUUCUCCAAAGCAACUAGAAAGAAGAUGAAAAUGCAUGCUGGGGAGAAAUAAAAAAAAAUAACAGUUUGAAUAGUUUGAAUGGUAGGUGAAAUUAUGAGAGUGAAUUUUUAUAUCUAGGGAGAAUUUCUAGAUUGAAAAGAGCAGAAGGCAGAGAAAACACUCAGUUUCAAGGGGCAGGUGGAAGAAGAGGAGUUCUUUAAGAAGAAAUAGACUAUUUUGACAAUCAAGGGAGUUAGCUGUCAUGGAAGACAAGAAAGAAAAAUGUUUCCAGGAGGAAUAGGAGUUUACAACAGCAUCAGUGCAGUAGAGUAAGGUAAGGACUUAGCAAUUUUAGUGAGAGUAGUCACUCUCUGAGAAUGUUCAUGACAUGGGCAUGAAGCCAGACUGCAGUUGGUUGAGAAGUGAACAUGAAUGUAGACAAGCUUUUUCGAGAAGUUUGGAUGAGAGCAGGUUGGCAUCUGGACCAUAGCUGGAAGGGAACACAUUCCCACUCUUGGUUCUGAAGCUAUAGCACCAGCCCCACUACCCUGGAUUGUAUUUCUGACUCCAUCUCAAAAAAAAAAAAAAAAUUGUGGAUUUGUUUUUUUUUGUUUGUUGUUUGUUUUUUUAACCUGCAUGAGGUUGUCACCCUUUUAGCUACUGUACUCUCACAUAGUAGAAAAAGCAGUGAACCAGAAAUGAAAAAAACUAAGUUUUAGUCUGGUUCCUUUGAACAACAUUGGGUAAAUGACUUUCCCUCUCUGAGCCUCAGUUUUUCAUUGGUAAAAUGAGCAAAUUGAACCAAUUAUCGAUAACAUUCUUUUAAUCUCUAAUGUUCUGUGCCUGAUCUGAAUCUACAAAUAAGGAACAAAUACCAGGAGCCUCCAUCUCCUACCUAUCAAUACUUUUGGAGUGCUUACUUAGGCAGCAUAUAUACUAAAAUUGGAACGAUAGGGAGAAUAUUAGCAUGGCCCCUGCAGAAGGACGACACACACAUUCAUCAACACUUCCAUGUUUUUACUUAAAUAAAUAAAACAUUUGGCUGUGUGGUGGCUCAUGCCUGUAAUCCCAGCACUUUGGGAGGCUGAGAUGGGUGGAUCGCUUGAGCUCAGGAGUCCAAGAUUGGCAUGGGCAACAUGGCGAAACCCCAUCUCUACAAAAAAUACAAAAAUUAAUCGGGCAUGGUGGUAACAGCAGAGCAGAAAGCACCAAGGCUUUGGAGUUCAGACAGACCUGUAUUCACAUUCCACCUCAGCCACUUACUGUGGGCAAGGUAUUGAAUCCAAACUUCUUCCUCUUCUGAAAAAAAUGGAGGGAAUGAUCUCACAGGGUUAGUGUUAGAUGAAGAUAGCAAUGUGAAAAUCCAUGGUAGGUAAGUGUUAGCUUCAUAACUUCCUCCUCAUCUUUCUGGCUCCUUUUCAUAGGUCUAUCAUCCAGCACUGUGGUUGUCAUCAAGACUGUGCCUGGGACAGUGUUCUCUCAAUAUUCAUCACAUCUGUAAGCUCAAAUUUACAUUUAUAGCAAUGACUUCUAUAAUACUACCCUCCAGGCGCCUAUUUUCAGUGGUCUGUAGAAUAUCACCACUGUGACAGCCAAAGUCAGUACCUCCACAACUGUUAGCCCGCCAUUCUUCCCGACUUCAGACUUACAGCUUAGAAAUAUAUUCACACUCUUUUCUUCCCUCUACCUUCCUCCCAAUCCAAUUUCCCACCAUGUUCCCAUUUAUUCCUUUGAGGUCACUUUCAUCAAGAUAUUCCCCUUGAAGUCACCCUAUUUCCCACCACAGUAAGACCUAACUUCACAAUUCCCUGGUUUUCAAUACCUACUCUCAAUAAUUUGGUCUCAUCUUAGCCAACUAAUUUCUUCCAUUUCCCAAUUCAGUUGAAUUCACUUCAACUUUUGCAUUCUCAUUAGAAAAUGAAAGAUUGGAUUAACAUGAGGAACAACCAAUUGCAUUCUUGAGACUGACUUUAUAACCCAGGACAUACUUCUCUGAGCCUAUUUCUUUAGCUAUAAGAUAAUCAGCUUUAUCUACUUUGCACAGUGAUGUAAAAUAAAGGCAGCUAGGAAAAUGAAGUGUCACAAUGCAUUGUGAUUACGUACAGAACAAGGUGCCACACUCACAUGUGCAUGUGAACAGCUGUACAGACAGACCUGCUUUUUGCCUCUUAUCUUUGCUCCUAAGUAUUCUCUACCAUUGGGAAUGCCCUUCCUCUUCUCUUGGAUGAUACACAUUCUCUCAAUACUUCACAGACUUCUUAUUUUUACAGAUCACUCUGCUCUUUUAUUUGGUACCAAAAAUAAAAGCCAUGACAUUUUUCAACUAUUAUGUGUGUAGGGCUAUGCGGAAUUUUGUUUAUCCAAGUAGUUUAUAAGUCAAGAGCGGGAACAGGUAUAGCCCCCAGCAGAAAGCUGAAAACCCAGUUUUUCUCACCAAGCUCCUAAAUUGCCUGAUUGGCCCAGCUUAGCUUCAUUUAAGUGGGUAGGUAUGGUUUUAAUUUGGCAAAGAACCAAUAUAGAAAAAAAAAAAAAAGGCCAUGCAGUCAUAAAACCUGAGUUUGAAUUCUGGUUGCACCAUUCACUAUGUGACUCUGGGCAAUUUAACCUGAGUCUCGGAUCUCUCAACUUUUUAAAAUUUUUAUUUAUUUAUUUAUUUUGACACAGGGUCUCAGCCUGCCGCCCAGGCUGGAGUUGCACCAUUGUACCUCACAGCAUCUUCGAACUCCUGAGCUCAAGCAAUCUUCCCGCCCCAGCCUCCCGAGUAGCUGGGACUACAGGCACACAAGACCAAGUCUGGCUUUUUUUUUUUUUUUUAAAGA